rnacentral:rRNA from 1 species
GUUGGCGGGGCAACGGCCCACCAAGGCGACGAUCGGUAGCCGGCCUGAGAGGGUGAUCGGCCACAUUGGGACUGAGAUACGGCCCAGACUCCUACGGGAGGCAGCAGUAGGGAAUAUUGCACAAUGGGGGAAACCCUGAUGCAGCAACGCCACGUGUGGGAAGAAGCAUUUCGGUGUGUAAACCACUGUCAUGAGGGAAUAAGGCCCUUAUUCGUAAGGGAUUGAAUGUACCUUGAGAGGAAGCACCGGCAAACUCGUGCCAGCAGCCGCGGUAAUACGAGGGGUGCAAGCGUUGUUCGGAAUUACUGGGCGUAAAGGGAGCGUAGGCGCAGAUUCAAGCGGAUUGUACAAUCCCGGGGCCCAACCCCGGCUCUGCAGUCCGAACUGGAUCUCUUGGAUAGUUCAGGGGCAGGCGGAAUUCCUGGUG